rnacentral:rRNA from 1 species
UACACACGUGCUACAAUGGUCGGUACAAAGGGUUAGCCAAGCCGCGAGGUGGAGCUAAUCCCAUAAAACCGAUCGUAGUCCGGAUCGCAGUCUGCAACUCGACUGCGUGAAGUCGGAAUCGCUAGUAAUCGUGAAUCAGAAUGUCACGGUGAAUACGUUCCCGGGCCUU